UACGGGGGGGGCAAGCGUUGUUCGGAAUUACUGGGCGUAAAGGGCUCGUAGGUGGCCAACUAAGUCAGACGUGAAAUCCCCAGGCUCAACUUGGGAACUGCGUCUGAUACUGGAUGGCUUGAAUUCGGGAGAGGGAUGCAGAAUUCCAGGUGUAGCGGUGAAAUGCGUAGAUAUCUGGAGGAAUACCGGUGGCGAAGGCGGCAUCCCGGACCGAGAUUGACACUGAUGAGCGAAAGCUAGGGGAGCAAACGGG
rnacentral:rRNA from 1 species